AGUAGGGUAAGCAUCAUGGCUGGCAGCCUCACAGGAUUGCUUCUACUUCAGGCAGUGUCGUGGGCAUCAGGUGCCCGCCCCUGCAUCCCUAAAAGCUUCGGCUACAGCUCGGUGGUGUGUGUCUGCAAUGCCACAUACUGUGACUCCUUUGACCCCCCGACCUUUCCUGCCCUUGGUACCUUCAGCCGCUAUGAGAGUACACGCAGUGGGCGACGGAUGGAGCUGAGUAUGGGGCCCAUCCAGGCUAAUCACACGGGCACAGGCCUGCUACUGACCCUGCAGCCAGAACAGAAGUUCCAGAAAGUGAAGGGAUUUGGAGGGGCCAUGACAGAUGCUGCUGCUCUCAACAUCCUUGCCCUGUCACCCCCUGCCCAAAAUUUGCUACUUAAAUCGUACUUCUCUGAAGAAGGUGAGGAGGAAGGGGACAAGAUGACAUAGAGCCAUUGAAACUUUUCGUUUUUCUUUUCUUUUUUUAAAAUUUUUUUGAGGCAGAAUCUCACUCUGCCCAUUCUGUCGGCGAGACAGGAGUGCAGUGGUGUGAUCUCCCCUCACAGCAACCUCUGCCUCCCAGGCUAUAGUGAUUCUCCUGCCUCAGCCUCCUGAGUAGCUGGAAUUAUAGGCGUGCGCCACUACCACCUGGCUACUCCAUUCACACCUACCUGUGGUGUCGCCAGUGAUGGAGCAGAUACUCAAGGAGGCACUGGGCUCAGCCUGGGCAUUAAAGGGACAGAGUCAGCUCA
rnacentral:misc_RNA from 1 species